GAUGAACGCUGGCGGCGUGCCUAAUACAUGCAAGUCGAGCGAACAGAUGAGGAGCUUGCUCCUCUGACGUUAGCGGCGGACGGGUGAGUAACACGUGGAUAACCUACCUAUAAGACUGGGAUAACUUCGGGAAACCGGAGCUAAUACCGGAUAAUAUAUUGAACCGCAUGGUUCAAUAGUGAAAGACGGUUUUGCUGUCACUUAUAGAUGGAUCCGCGCCGCAUUAGCUAGUUGGUAAGGUAACGGCUUACCAAGGCAACGAUGCGUAGCCGACCUGAGAGGGUGAUCGGCCACACUGGAACUGGGACACGGUCCAGACUCCUACGGGAGGCAGCAGUAGGGAAUCUGCGGCAAUGGGCGAAAGCCUGACGGAGCAACGCCGCGUGAGUGAUGAAGGUCUUCGGAUCGUAAAACUCUGUUAUUAGGGAAGAACAAAUGCGUAAGUAACUAUGCACGUCUUGACGGUACCUAAUCAGAAAGCCACGGCUAACUACGUG
rnacentral:rRNA from 1 species